rnacentral:rRNA from 1 species
GCGAUCAUACCAUCACUAAUGCACCGGAUCCCAUCAGAACUCCGAAGUUAAGCAUGCUUGGGCGAGAGUAGUACUAGGAUGGGUGACCCCUAGGAAGUCCUCGUGUUGCACCCC